GAAGAUAGUGUGCGGGGGAUUUCUCAAACAAGUGAAGGUGUUUGAACUUGUGUGUCCAAAAAAUACUAUGAGUUCUAUGAAGGUAUCUCUCCACCGAAUACUUGAAACCACGAGAGUUGUUCUUCAAGAUGGAAGAAACAUCAUCAUCCAAGUUUGAAUAAAUGGCAUCAAGCACUGUUAGUAGCCGCAAGUAGAUAUGAAAGCGGCGCCAAUUACUACGAUGAAGUAAGUAUUUUCACAAUUUAUUUUAAAUAUUUCAUUAUAUUACAUUUAAUUUCAUAAAUUAAUUUCCUUUAAUUUUUGUAAUUAUAUUUUCUAGGUACGCCAAGCGGAGGAAUUGUAUAUGGAGGCAACUCGAAACCCUUUCAGCAUCAAGGUUGUUGGGAAAUUUGUAAAGGGUGGGUGUUAUUUGAAGAUCCACCUCAACAUAGAGUAUCUCUUACACCGGUGUUCGGAAUUGCAUCCUCAGCUGUAGAUAUGGAUGAAGAUGGAUCUCCUACCAUUCAACAAACAAGGGUAGAAAAUCCGUCUUCGGGUGAAGGUUCCAUACCUAGGGCUAUGGGACGAAACAAGGCCCAAAGGUUGAAGGAAAAGGGUAAGGCAAAUGAUGAUUACGCUGCUCAACAAGAAGUGGUGGCCUCAUUGAGAUUAAUGGCAGAGCAAAAUGCCAUUAUAGCGGAAGAAAGGAAUCGUAGGCAUGAAGAACGGGCCAAACAAAAACAAGAAGAGAUGGAUGAUAAGAAUAUGGCAAGGAACACUUCGAAUUACACUCCAAUGAGUAAGGCCUAUUUUGAUAGGAAAAAAAAAGAUAUUAUGAUCUGACGACAAUUGUUUACUUCUGACUAUACUCCUACAAUGGCGGAUGAUGAAGAUGAUGUUGAUUAUGGAUAUUAAAUUUAAGUUGUUGUAGUUUUUAAAUUUAAUUUGUAGUUUUAAGUUGUAGUUUAUUAAUAUAAGUUGUACUUUUUAAAUUUAAGUUGUAGUAGUUUUUAGAUUUAAAUAAUAAAUUAUGUUUGGCCCUAUGGCCCUUUGGCCCUUGGUUGAAGACGAUUUUGUGUGAUAGGGCUAAAACGAGCCCUAUGGCCCUUUGGCCCUCAAUUGGAGAUGGAGGCCAAUAUGGCCUUGUACUGUUCAUCAAAAUAUUAAUAUCUGGGAGGGUCAGAAUGCUAAAAUGAGCCAUCUGGCCAGCCUUUGGUUGGAGAUGGCCUAAUAUCAUUAGAAGCGAUGGUAGAGACUCAAAAGUGAAAGUAAUAAUUUACGGCUAUAUAGUGUAGGACACUCAUGGUUUAACAAUCAACAUUGGUAAUACUGUAAUAAACAUACCAUUCUAUAACAUCACGAUUAUUAUGUCACGUGGAAUAAUAAAUUUUGACUAUUACUAUGUAAUUUUAUUAAAACAAAGAGUAUUGGUACCCUCUUUUAUGUAAAAGGUACUGUAGAAUCGCGUUUAUAGAUAAGUUACAGGAAUGUGAUAACAAGUAGUCUCCUUUCUCUCCCUCUGCAAACAGAAACCCUAACUCCGCAAUUCUUAGCAACUGGUCCCUUACUUUAGCUUGGGGGUGGUGGCAGCCUCUCCCCCUUCUUCUAGGGCCCCCCUCUUCCUAACCUUUCACCUUCCAAGCCUCUCCACUCCCCAUCUUCCAUCUCCCCUUCCCUCGACCACUCAUCUGCGACCCUCCCUUUGUUUUUCCCUUUUCUCUCCAGUCCUUGGUGUUGCGCAACACUUCUUCACCAUCCAAAACUCGAGAACUAUUGCCUCACAUGGCCUAUUCCCAUGAUUUGGGGCAAGAUCUGCGAGUUUGGGUUGAUGUAUUAAUUGGUUGUUGGUGGGUCGGAUUCUCGCUUAUGAGUGAUAUAUGGUUUCGAUAUGACCCCGCUUAUGAGUGAUGAUUUUGAUGUGGCCUCAUUUGUCAACGAUGAUUUGAUAUGACCUCGCUUGGCUUUGCUGUAAUAUGCAUGUCAAAUUUGUGUGGUAAUCAAGUUUUGGGUUUUGCCUAUUAUGCGGCUAAUUCAAUUCGACAUAUGUGUUUUUAUCAAUUUCUGAAUUCAAUUAAUAUGUACUAAAACUAAUCAUCAAGAGCAUGUAAAUAUAUUUUGGCUCAUAUUAAAAAUUCAAUUUGGGUGCAUAUAUGUAAUAAGAUUUUGAGGUUUGCCGUUAUAUGAGUAAUUGGGUUUGGAAUGGUUGAUUCAUGUUGAUAUAAUCAUCUUUGAUAUUGGAAUUAUUGUAUAGCAAUGGCACCAACUUUGAAUAACAUACAUUGACAGCUCUUUUCCAUCGGGUAGGUUUCAUAAAUUGACAUUUUGAAUUAAUAUUUCGUGUAGCCCGUGAAUAAUCAUUUUUCAUAUGUGAAUAUUUCGUCAUUGUUACUAAUUAAUAACGAUGGCAUAUAAUUAGAAGGACUUAUGGGGUUAAGGUUUCAACCAACUACAUAAAAUAAUUGAGAUGGAUUAUGUUUGAUUCUCAACAAAAACGAAUUUGAACUACAUUAUUGUUACCCGUUGUGAGGCUAAGCCACCCGUUCUCCCUUAGUGUAAGUAAUAUUGCUUGUUCAAAGAAAAAAAAAAGUUGAGAUGGAUUAUAUAUUGGAUGGUGUACUGGUAUGUGAGUUUUCAAAUUGCAUUUGAUGUGAUCAACUAUCAUUCGACCUUAUUGUGGCUUCUACCAUUGACACAAUUUGUGGAGAACAGAAAUCUAUAUAACACUAUCCGUACAUAUACUUGUCUAUUUUUUAGGCCGUACUUUAAUUUAUAUUGAUGCGUGUAUACAAGAAAUGUAUGAAUAGACUUGUGUGCGCGUAAACCUUGUAUGGAAUGAUAUAGAUUGUUGGGAUCUAACCUUGAUUGGAAACAUGCAUGAUAGUGUUGACAUUGAAUUAAAGUAUGAGGAAUUUUAAUUUGGGUUACUGUCGAUUUAAUUAUGUUAUCAUAGGAUUAAUUGACAUGUUAUCGUUUAUGAUUUGUUUUAGUGUAUUGUGAAAAUCGUGGAGUUCAAGAUCUUGUCUUAUGUAUUGGGUUUUAUGAUUGUUAGGGCUGAAAAAUUUCACCCUAAGCCCAAAGCCAAUCAUUGGGUAUACAUCACAAGCUGAGUUUAAAUUCAUGCAUAAAGUGCGAAAUGAGUGGUAUGUAAAUUUACAAUCAUGGCACGCUAAUAAAAUAAUAGUUUAUAAAUUAGACAUUUGUAAAUUGCGACAAGCUCAUGCAAAUCAUCUAUACUUAUCAAGCCAAGCCAUAUUAUAAUAUUACUGUUAUAAUAAAUCUCACCAAUCACGCAACGUGCUUGAGUGGGCCAAGCCAUGUAAUGGGGCUUGCCAAUUGAAUUGUGGUGUGGAUGGUUACAAAAGUUCAUUAGGCUUAGGUAAAAUUUAGGUUGUUUAAGAUUUUCAACUGCUUUGGGGCACCAAAACUUGAAGCGCAUGAUUCUAACACCAAAUAGAAAAGCUUGAGAGAGAACAGACUCAUCUUUCCCUUUUCCCUUACAAACCAAAUAGGACACUUAGAAAACAACCAAAACUCAAAGCUAAGUUGACUGAAUCGAACGUGAUCACGUUUUAACCUAGAGUCGCACACCUAUUUAAUAAGUAGAGAAAUAACAUUUCCUCUCCAAGCUCAUACAGGAACAAUGAGGAGGGAAAGGACAAACUAGGGUAAGAAUGCACCAUGUAGAGCAAGUUUUCUUAUAGCCCAUUUGGUAUUACUUUUUUUACCAACAACUGCUUCACUUAAAGUUGAGUAAUUAAAAAGUUUUUGACAAAAAUGAAAUAUCAUGCUUAUUUUAAAAGCAAUGCCCUUUAAACAGUAGCUUUUAAAAGCAGCAUGUGGGAGCUUUUAAAAGUUGCUUUAAUAAAAAGAGGAGUUGAGUCUUUAAUUAAUAUUUUCAAUUCCUGUAAUACCCUCACUAAUUUUCAAUCCAUGCGAUAUCCUAAUUAGUUUAACAUUUCACGCUCAUUUUACCUCUUAGAGAACAAAGUGACCACCAUUUACCAUUACAAACACUCACCUUACACCACCACUUUCAUUACUAUAGCCAUUGUUGCUACCACCACCACCACCUCCUCCACAACAGCCAUCACAACGGCUAUGACCACCAUUGCCACCACUAUUGUUGCCACCGCCAUCGUCCCCAUUACCACCAUAACCAUAUCAACCACCACAACCAUAAUCAACAAUAUUGCCGCUGUCACACGCCUCUACCACCAUUGUUACCUUUACAAACCAAUCACCACACUGCACUAUUGGCACUACCAGCAUACCUCCAUUUUUGUCGUUGCCAUCACCACUACCACCACCAUCACCAUAACCAUCACUAUCGCCACCACCAACAUCAUCACCACUGCCCUCGCAACCAUCCCCACUACCAUGUCCAUUUUUGUUAGUAUAUACAUUUAUAUCAGUUCUACAAUAUAAUUUACCAAACCCUUUUCUACUGCUUUUCAAAUUCAUAACACUUUAAAAAAUAUAGUUUAUUCAACACUCAACUAUUUUAUGUCAAAGUUGAUUAUUAUUAAACCACAUCAUAAACAUAUAUAUAUAAAUUUUUUUUAAGCGCAGCUCCCAAAUUGGCCCUUAGUCCUUAUAAAAUCAUAAAAGUAUUAGAAAUCCUAGAUUAGCCAUCGUUAAAUCAUGAAAGAAAGCACAGACUCUCUCUCACACUACAAAAACAAAAUAUGAAACUGAUACGAUGGAAAACUGUGCAUUUUGAACGAGUUAUUCAUAGGGUAAACCUCUCUCUAUGUAUUCUCAUGAACGAUUCCAGUCCUUAUUGUAUCAACAGAAGACACCUAUCUUAUGCAAUAUGAUGAUUUUCUUUUAUUAGAUAUUAGUCACUAUAUAUGCACGCUUGUAUUAGAUAUAUUAGUCACUAAAUAUGCAAUAUGUGUUGCAGUCCUACUUGAUUAGGAAUGUAAUUGUAUAAAUCCUAGUGUAUCUAGGAGUAUCUUUGUAUAUUCCCUUUAGUAGUUUAAUUCCUAUUAGAGUUGUAAUCCUAAUAGGGUAAAAAUUUAAUCUUCCCUACUACUAUAAAUAAGAGCACAAUGGGGUGAUACAACACACAAAUCAAAAUUACAUCUCUCUCUUCUCUCU
rnacentral:lncRNA from 1 species